UACGUAGGCAGCAAGCGUUGUUCGGAGUUACUGGGCGUAAAGGGCGCGUAGGCGGCUCUAUAAGUAUGGUGUGAAAUCUCCCGGCUUAACUGGGAGGGUGCGCUAUAGACUGUGGGGCUAGAGUGCGGGAGAGGAAAGUGGAAUUCCUGGUGUAGCGGUGAAAUGCGUAGAUAUCAGGAGGAACACCGGUGGUGUAAACGGCUUUCUGGACCGUAACUGACGCUGAUGCACGAAAGCGUGGGUAGCAAACAGG
rnacentral:rRNA from 1 species